ensembl:lincRNA
CAGAUACCGGCAGGGGCCACCCAGACGUGCAGCUCCACCCUGUACAGAUUCCCGCGUUCUGGGUCGUUCCCGGACAGAAGUGAUGUGGAGGUCGCUGGGGGUUUCGGUGUCACGAACAGCAGUUCGGUUUGGAAUAAAGUAGCAGACUGCAAAACCCGGGCACCGACGUCCUGCUGAGCGCUGCAUUCCCACCCGCCUGCACCUGCCUCCCCCACAUCCCAGGGAAGGGAGUGCUCUGGCCUGCAGAUUGAGCCAUCACGGUGCAGUCAGUGCUAAGGCCACUCGGCCCCCCUGGGCUACGUGGAGAGGACCAGGUCAGGACCCCAGUGUGAGGGAGAAGGAAAAGACUGAAGGAGGAAGCAGUUCUUACCCGAGGCAGUGGUGGACUUUAGACGAUUGGUUGCUUGUCCUAACAGAGAUCCUGUUGAUUGGUACAGUUAUAUCUCUGUCUUCUGGAUCUGUUUGUCCAUUUUGUUUUGUUUUCUUCUGUCAUUCCAUACCUGUGAGAGUUUCUCUUUUUUUCCUAUAUUUUUAUUGGCACAGUUUAAUUAGACCUAAUGGCGGGAUUCAUUGUCACAUAUUCAUAUAUGCACACAAUAUACCAGCAUUCCCCAGUAUUUCCCCUUUCUCUCCCAUUAUGUGAUCCCCCACCUUUCCCCCCCACCUUUUUUUUUUUUAACCAGUGUUAGUUUUCUUCCCAAGUUGUACUAUCAGCAUUAUUAAGAUGCAGCCAUUGUCUUGUCUUCAUCUUGGCCUUUAGCAUUUCCCACCUUUGAAGACACUUCUUGGGCUCCACCCCACUGGGGCAGCCUAGGACCCAGCAGACAACUUUUUCUCUAGCUAGAGUGCUUUCUGCCACCUUCCUCAUGGAAGCUAUUUUCCCUUUUUGCCUCUGCACUGAGUGCUUGUUGUUCCCAUUUAAACUGUAAUGCUUCCUCACCCAUCUAAGACCUACGUAUGCUUUGAGACCCAACUCAGGAGCCAGCUUCAUGGUUUCCUCACUACAGUUUACAUUGGUCUCUCCAUUCUUAAUUUUAUCUCAGAUAUCUUCAGUAUUAGAGUAUUAUAUAUUCUUUGAGGGUGGGAGACUUAUCUUUACUGUCUAUGCUGUCUCCACAUCACUCAGACAGUGCCCCUGAAAAUGGAAGAAAACAAUCCUAAUCAAAAAAUACCUAAUGAGUUAUCUCUUAGAAUAUAAUAGUGUAAUGACCACUAAGCUCAGAUACUUUCUGAGGGUUUUUUUUUUUUAAGUACUAAUAAUGGAUAUGAGUUAAUUCAUUCCCCCGACAGAUUUUCCUUCUUUAAUUUUAGGAAAUACUUGAAAUACUGAGCGUCAGACAUCGUCUGAGGAUUUAUAAACGAUAUAGAUGCAGUAGCCAUCCAGCUCAUUAGAAAAACCAGCUGAGCACAUCUAAAAGAGCCGUGGAGUUUUCAGACUCUGUCCCAGAGCUCUGAAGUUCUCCAUGAUGACUUGGGUAUGUGGACAGCCAGGCAGCACAGGACUGAAUAGACUAACCAGCCUUACCCCUGCCUGCUUUACACAUGUACAGAUGAGAAGAACUGGAUUAUGUUUGUACUUAGGAUUCCAUUUAAGAUUUUAUUUCAAGUUAAAGAAGGAGUUCUUUUGCUUUUUAAUAUUUUAAAACUUCAGUAGGGCAGAGUUUAACUGGUUGCUUAGGUGAGAAAGAUGUUGCACUCACAGCUUGUUUGAAAUCUUAAGCUAAUUACCUACCUGAGCAUCAGCCUGUUGCUUGUUUUAUUGAAGGGUAUGAGAUACGGUCAUUAGUCAUUGGAAGGUUAUCUAAGACAUGUCAUAGCUCAUCAAAUUACAUGAUAGGCUUCCACACAGAAAACAGCAGCAUAGGCAGGAUCUAGACUGUGUCAAUAAAUGCCAUAUUCAUAAUUGUCAUAUAUAAAAUAAUAACCAGGAUUAGAAUUAUUUCAUAAGUGUAAGAAAUGUCAACAUAUUAACAACCAUUAUCUCUAGGAAUGGGAUCACAGAUAAUUUUUAUCCUUUGUGCUUAUCCAUAUUUUCUCAAUGAAAAUGCAUUGAGUGGGAAUUGUAAAGAAAGUUAUUUUGAAAAUAAGUUGAAAAUAAAUGAGAUAAUCUAAG